rnacentral:rRNA from 1 species
GACGAACGCUGGCGGCGUGCUUAACACAUGCAAGUCGAACGGUAAGGCCCUUCGGGGUACACGAGUGGCGAACGGGUGAGUAACACGUGGGUGAUCUGCCCUGCACUUCGGGAUAAGCCUGGGAAACUGGGUCUAAUACCGGAUAGGACCACUGCCUGCAUGGGUGGUGGUGGAAAGCUUUUGCGGUGUGGGAUGGGCCCGCGGCCUAUCAGCUUGUUGGUGGGGUGAUGGCCUACCAAGGCGACGACGGGUAGCCGGCCUGAGAGGGUGACCGGGCACACUGGGGCUGAGAUACGGCCCAGACUCCUACGGGAGGCAGCAGUGGGGAAUAUUGCACAAUGGGCGCAAGCCUGAUGCAGCGACGCCGCGUGAGGGAUGACGGCCUUCGGGUUGUAAACCUCUUUCAGCACCGACGAAGCGCAAGUGACGGUAGGUGCAGAAGAAGGACCGGCCAACUACGUGCCAGCCGCCGCAGUAA